UACAUAUGUAAUUUUUUUUCUCCAUUUAAUUUGCAUACCAAGUGUUCUUUUACACAUGUGUUUGAUUUUGUUUUUCUUUUAAGUGAUGAUGUUAAAGAUUUUAUGUACCUUGCAUACCUUGCAAAAUCGGGCAAUCAAACUUAUAAAGCGUGACUGCAGAAUGUAUUGAUUUGAAUCAUGUAGACCGUGUGUGGUGCCUGAUGUGGUACGUGUAGAGGUGACUGCAGUAUGGGAAGCGAAAAUGAGAAAAUCAUAGUCAUCUUAACAGGGUCAAUUGUAAUGAUUUUGCUAGGCCUGAGCUUGAUUGUAUGUGUAUUCAGAAAAAAGCAAAAGAGGAAGAACCAGAUGAGAAUAAUACAAGAAGGUCGUAUUUCAUAUAACUUCUUACUUACUACGUUAUUGGACUCCAA